CAAGUGGAGUGAGCAAGGGUCACCAUUUGCAUGCAUUAGGAUAAAUCCAGAGCUGGUUCAUUGUGGAUCACUGGGUGUUUCUAAAUUUGUACUAAUAGGAUGAAGAAGGCUGUGAUUCAAUGGCAUUUCACUCACUGAAGCUAAUGAGCUCUUCCUGUCCCCACACUGACCACAGGAUAUCAGCAGAUGAGGAGAUGAAUCUAAGCCUAAGAAAGGGGUGAAGCCCAUGUGAGAAGUGGAGGAGACUGAAGAACUUUCUUGUUUCCAGGUCGUCCAUCUGCUUUGAAGGCUGUUCAGGCACUGCAGGAUCUGUGGACAGAACAGGUAUGUUCCUCAGGUACAAGAGUCACACACUGUCUGUGGCCCUACGGGGAAGCUG
rnacentral:lncRNA from 1 species